CAACCCAUGUAAUCAAGCAGUUGGUUUUCUUCAGGGUUAUUACUCCCACAGUGUUUGCUGUGAAUGUAUUUAGUUGUUUUUCUCCUGGAUUAUGGUGUUAAUUUUGGACUACUGGAUGGUUUUUUCCUUUGAGAUUUCCAGUAGCUGGAGUUGUGCUGUGGGCUCCAUUAAAAUCAACCCAUCUUGGUUUCUGACUCAAUUCUGCCAUCUCCCGGCUCCGUCUCGCCCCUCGUGGAAUUUAAACUACUAUCCUUUCUCUCUUCUUGAGAUAUUCGCAGGUGGUGUCUCAUAUGGUGCCACAUGUGGGCUCUUAACCUUUUAUUUCACACAGCCUUGGCAGGAGUUGUCCCAUCACACGAGGGAACUGACAAAGGAUGGUCGGGGCAGAGUCUGAGGAGGCUUACUUCUCUUGUGGCCAAAGAAGAUACGUGAAGUCUAUGGAGGAUGACCCAAAGCAUCUGAUGGCAAGAAAAUCUGCUCAGAAAAAGGACAGACUGCAGAGGUGUCUGGCACAGGACACCAGAAAAACAGCACAUGCACUGUAAAGGCAACAACACGGCCUCAUAGGCAGGUCUAACACACUAUCCACAGAAAUGUACUUAUAUGAAAAACAAUUUAACUACAGAAGAAUAUCAUUGAGUCACUGACA